ACUGCAGUGUGGGAGUAGAUUGGUACUUACUGAGCACUUAGAAACAUCACGCAUCAGGAACCGGGUCAGGGUGACAGCAUCCUACGGUCAUAUCAUGAAGGAAGCCUCCCUUACAAACCUAAAAAAAAAAAACCCCAGCUUCAGUUUGCUACCAAUUAAGCUAAAGCAGAACGGUCUGCUUCCUCCUCCGCCUGCCCCCUUCUGCCUCUUUUCUGUUGGGGAGAUGCCAAUUCUAAGGAUUUCUCAGAAAAUAAUGUAAUCUCUCAUUCAAUGUCAGGACAUUCCAGCUUAAUUGUACUGAAAGUGCUCCAAUAGGCAUGCUCUCGUUACAUUGGAAUCAAAGCAGAAAAGAGUAAUAGCAGCGUGGGGGAGUCAUUUUUCUUCUUGAGGAACAAUACAUGCUGUUCUGUAUUUUUCCAUUCAUCGCCCAAACCUGCCUGUGUCUUUGAAAUGCAAGUAAGAUCCCAAAGGCAGCUUUCUGAAAGCCCGUGGCAUUUUUAGCUUAUCCCAUCCCCCGUGUGUGUCCUCAUCUUCAGAAUUGAAAGUUAGGAUACUUUUUAAAGUUUCAAAAGAAAAUAAUUUAAAAUGUUAAGGUUUAUCCAUAGAAACACAAUAAUUCUUAACCAAUUCAUGUACCAAAUUCAACAGUAUUAUCUCAUUUUUAGGGUCACAAAUGUGUCCUUUUUGCACUUAAACCUCCUCCCUCUCUCAAAAACAAAAACAAACAAACAAACAAAAAACACACCAAGACUGUUUAACAAAUUGUAUCUCAACUCUUAAUAUAUGUUAAGUCUUACCACAGGACAUUUGAAUCAUCAAGGAACAGUUGAAGUUUAUGGAUGGUAGAAUAACAAUGAACUAUGAUAUUAUCACUUUAUUAUAAACUUUUUGGAAAAUUGGCAGUUGCUACCAUCGAAAUACUCCAUUGCCUGUGUUACAUAGAAUUUGUUAUAAUUUUUAAGGGCUUUAAAAAAAUACCCAUCUGUUUCUUCUCCUUCUUGUUUUCUUUUGUGCCCCACCACUUAAAUUACUUGGGUAAAUACCACUCUUCAAAAUUUGAAUACUGUCUAUCAAAUAAGAAGAAGUGUGAAAGAUAUGAAGAAGAAAGGUGAUAGCAAAUUAGAAGAAAAUAAAUGUGGGUGAUUUCUUUUAGUUGAAAGCACAGAGUUUUAUUUUUCCCCAGUAUAACUAUUGAGUAGGGUAGGGAGGUCCCUGUAUCCCCAUUUUUAUUUUUUUUGAGAUGGGGUCUCACUCUGUCACCCAGGCUGGAGUGCAAUGGCGCAAUCUCGUCUCACCACAACCUCCGCCUCCUGGGUUCAAGUGAUUCUCUUGCCUUGGCCCCCUGAGUAGCUGGGAUUACAGGCACGCGCCACCACACCCAGCUAAUUUUUGUAUUUUUUUUUUUUAGUAGAGAUGGGGUUUCACCAUGUUGGUCAGGCUGGUCUCGAACUCCUGACCCCAUGAUCUGCCCGCCUCGGCCUCCCACAGUGCUGGGAUUACAGGCGUGAGCCACCGUGCCCGGCCCAUCUCCCCAUGUUUUAGCAUAGACAGCAGCGGCAUUCAGUGGAAGGAGUUCUUCCCCUUCAACAUCGUCCUUCCCAAAGGCCACAUUCUGAUUCUAUUGUUCACCAAAAACUAAUUCCCAGGGAAGCCCGCUCUGGAUGGGAAGGAUGAGCUGCGUGAGCCAUCGCCCACACAGGGAGAUAACCGAACCCCUUUGCCAGCAUCACCCCCUCUCUACUGGGGUGAGACACUUCAUUCAGAGCACUGGCUCUGACUCCCAGGGGAAAGUCUUUUUCCCUUUACAACUCCUCACCUCAGCCUCACCUUGACUUUCACUUCUCAACUGCUGAAUUCUAUAAAAUAGCCUUUUAGCAGUGACUCAGCUUUUAGGUGAGCACAGAUAAUGAAGAAAUUGAAGUGCCACCAUUGCACUCCCCCAAGUUGGGGACAUAAACUCGAAUUUGCACCCAGGUCUGAUAAAAGUAACUGAUUGAGGACGCAGAAAGGUGGAUGCCAUUGACAGCGUUGACUGUUCUCACAAUUCCUACAGAAAUGAAAGAAGGAGAGGCCCAGCAGACCACACCGGGCCAUGAGGGGAAGCAUGGGAGACAGGCAGAAGCAGGAGUGAGGAGGAACGUGGCUCAGACCCUCUACUGUAUGUUCUGCAGGAAAGGGCAGGGAAAUAGCUAAGACUGGCUGGUCUGAAUAACAGCUCAGACUCUAGGCUAUACAGGUGGUCUCUAGCCAUCUGGCACCUAGCCCCGGGUCGUUAGGGUGGGGGAUAUUGCUUCCUAGGUUGUAAGAGCCAGAUAGAGGAGGAUGGGCUCUGGAUUGGUCACUUUGCUCCCAGGGUAGCCCUUUGCUGUAUCUAAGAAUUGGCUCACCCUGGGAUGGGCAGUUUCUCCUGGGUCAGCGAGGCCCCUGAGAUGUCAAAAUAUCAUAAAAUAUAGAAAUCAUGAUUAAUACAAUUGGUCCUCUGCUGUUUUGACAUACUAAGGUCACUUUUGAUAGCAGAAACUUUUAAAGAGUAGGGCAUACGUUGCCCUGAAGAGCAUAGAAAACAUUUUAUUCUGAGAGUAGAAAGGAGGAAGACACGUGGAGAUACAGGAGUCCCUUAGGCUGGCCCAUAGCUGAGUCUCUCAUGUGUGUGGCAUUAGUCAAGAAUGUAGUUCUGCAGUUUGCGGGGGGGGGGUCUCUAACAUUUCUUGGUGCAGUUGUUAACAUGUGUUAAACAUAUGAGUCUGAUGAUGAUAUCGCGGUGUUUCUCGGCUCGGGGUGGCAGGUCUGGCGGUUGUGUGGCUGGGGGUGUGCACUGAUAGUUCAGUAAAGGAUAAGUAGAGACUCGUGGUGUUCAUGUGUCACCACAGGGAGGGAGUGGCUGUGGAGACCCAGGACAGGAAGUCGCGGUGGAAAGCAGGCUGGGGUGGUAGGAGAAGGCACCGGGGGUGGGUGCUCCUCCCCCAGGGGUUGAGGAGUUGACUGAUAGGGGGCAGUUACCUCCUGGGAAAGCAAGACGCUCCCUUAAGUUUUAGAAUGGUACAGAGAGUAGUCCCUUCUACCAGAGUUUCCAUUUAGACAUGGGAGUGUAGGGGGCCAUGUUUCGGCAGAAGCAGGGCAUGUAUCAGCAUUAGUGGACUCCUCAGUAUUAAAAGGAAGAACAGCAAACAUGUCAUGUGCCCACUUUGUGCCUCAGGAGAGGUAGCCCGUGGACAUCGCUAGGGCAGAGGUUUUAAUAUCUGGGACAAAGUUAUCUCCCACGGCGAGGUCGUGGCUGGGACCAUGUCAUCUUCAGCCGUGAGCUGCUGGGCUGGGCAAUGUCUUCUGGGAUGUGAGACGUGGGGUCUCCUUUCUAAGCGGACCCCCACUCGUGCUGAUGUGGGUCCCAGCAUUUGCCGCGUUUGGUUGAAACAGUGGCUUACCUGGAGGGUCUGGGUCUCUGGAUCAUAAACCAGCGAAAGCCCCCACAUCAGUGGUGACAAGAUCAAUAGACCCCAGAAUGUGUGCAGCUGUGCUUGAUAGGGUUUUGGUUCUUGCUUUUUGGUGGAAGUUUAGGCUCAAGUGGGUCCCGUAUCGGAUGAGCAGCUGCACGGCCUGUGGGAGCCCUGGGGUUAGUGGGUCCAGGAGAGAAUGUGUUCUCUCUCUGGGCUCCAGCCCUGAUGGGGUGGGGAUAAGAUGCAAGAUUUAUAGGAAUAGGGGGAAACAUUAUGGAAGGCCCCAAUAUGUAAUGAGCUUUUAUAUACAAGAAUGCAAGACAUAGCCCUCUUUUUAUGUUUAAAGGGGACUAUGGUAAUGUUUUUUAAAGUUUGUGUGAGGUGUGAGUCAACCGAAAGGCCCUAAAUUAAGAGAGAUUCAGGUUUGUGGUGCAAGAUAGAGGCCCAUUUCGGGGUCUGUUUGCAGACCAGAAUUUGAAAUGGAGUUGUUUGAGGAGACCAUUGUGUGUCUUCGUGAAACCGAUUGUGUGGAACCUAUCAGGGCUGUGGAAGUUGUAGCGAAUGCCUUUUCCCAGAGCCCAGCAUUGUGGAUUCCGAGAAGUGGCAUGUGUGUCUCAGUGACUUCCAGUGAUGCCUGCCACUCUGAAGAGAUGAAGGAGUGUCCUGGCAAGACCUGGAAUCCCAGCUGUAGCACCUGUGGAGAGAUGUGAUUUAGAUUUGGAUUUGGGGUAUCUGUGAGGAAGAGUCCCAGAGUUUUUCAUCCUGAAGGGGGCAACUCUUGGGCAGUGGUCCAACAGUUGGCCAUAAAUGUGAAGCUGGGGCGCUGUGCUGACCAGGGCAUCCAGCGUUAAGACGACUGCCUAACUUUGGCCACAUGCGUUGUUUUUUGGGUUCCGUUUCGUAUCAGGGCAUGCUGGCUAAAAGAUGGGAAGCAGCAACAUUCUCUUGGGCUCCAUCAUUUAUAUGAGGGUUGGCAAUGCCAUCUGUACCCUCUGUGAACUCCCACUGCUGUUCACUCAGUUAAUCUAAGGGACACCAAGGGGUCUGCGGGAGGAUGACCUCACAAGGGACUGAGGACAUGGGAGACCACCCUCCUGUGGGUAGAAUACACCAGAGGGCCCAGGCUUGACUCUGUCCUGUGUUAAGGAGGCAUCGGUAGUUUUGCUGAGCUUGUCAGGUGUUUAUAAUGGACAGUUGGAGAUUGGGGUCCUAGGCUUAGGUCUUUGAGAGCCUCUGUGUCCAGGAGAGCCCAGUAGGCAUCCAGCCAUUUACUGCUUUAAUAGGGUAGCAUGAGGCUGAGAGGGAUAGUUUCUUGCAUCCAAAGCCCUUAGGCACCUUAUGUCCAUCCUAAGUGGGCCAGAGACUCCAGGGCUGCAUAGAGCUUGCCAGAGCUUCUAUAAUGAAGGGGUCUCUGAGGGCACCAACAGGAGUGCCCAUGGAUUUUAAGGUUUGAUUAUAGAGGUUGUUUAUGGAGGGUGCCCCAUUUAAAGCAAGCUGAUUUGUAAGCAGCAGCAAGAAGAUUAAGUAAAAUUUGUAAAUGAGGACUACAUUGCCAUCAGAACCUCGAAAGUAUCUAAAGAUGUUGGACUUGUAUGUCCUUAAUGAGUGUGACAAUGAGUUUCCUCAUUUGUGCUCCUGGAGAAGGCGGAUGUGGUGAAGACCCUGUCUGCAGACAUUGUGUGCCAUGGCAAAGCCGUGGAGCUCCCUGUGGGUGGCCUGCAAAGGUGUAUGUGCCCCUCAGGGCAGAAGGCAAACGGCAGCCAAGAAGCUGUGCAAGUAGACACUUAAUGGGACAUGUUAGCCAAAUCUGUAAGAGCAAAAUAUUGGCCAGUUAUUUAUUGUGUAGAAUUAAUAAUUUUAAUAAUAAUGGAAAUUGGGUAAUGGAUGGGACUGCAGCAAUAAGGUUGUAGUAAUCCACCAUGAGGCACACUUGUUUUUUUCCAGGUUUAAGGAUAGGAAAGAUUGGGCUGUUCAAUGGAGAAACAAGGGUAUAAUCACCCCUUUAUUAAUUAGUAAGUUUUAAUCCUUGAAUACCUCAUAUUAACUGUUUUAACUGGAGGUCCAUGGGGCAUCAUUUUAUCAAGCUAGUUUAUAACUGCCAAAGACUGACUUUAAUUUUAAUUUAUUAUUUGUUUUAUUAGAGUGUCUGUGUUCAAUAUGGGAUAUUAGGGCGUUGGGUACUAUGACCACAGGAAAUUUAGACAGGCUACAGUUAAAGUGAAGCAUACCUUACCCAUCCACCCCCCAUUUUAUAUUUAGUUGCCUUUUUAAAAAGAUUAUAGGGGUACAAUGUUUAGAUUUAGUGGGAUCUCCAGGUAUAACUGUAAUUUGAGCCCCAGUGUUAAGACUAUGAAGCUUUGUCAAUGGGUACAUUCUAGCAUUUCAGGAGCAGAAGCACCUGCCUGCAGCCCUGCAGCUAAGGAAGUUCUCUCAGUCACUCAGAGCAGGGAGGGGCUGAGAGAGUCAUGUGAGGCUCCCGGGGUACUACGACAGCCCUCGAGGUGAAGGAUUGGCCCUGAUCAUAAUAGAGAACCCUGAGGAAGUUUACUGUCAUGAGUCUCGGCUGGUUGGCGCAUGUGACCUUUGAAGGAUGAAGAUGGAGUUUGCAACAUGAGUAUCUCUAACCUUUUGCUUUUCAGGGAUCAUUUUCAAAAAUUGCAUUGGGGCCUUCGUUAUUUACCAUAGUAUUUUCACUUUCAUAGUUUUGUCACCUUUUUGUACUGUGAACAGUUCAACCAGUGACCGACUUCUCUCUCAUGCUGUUUACCCCACACACAAUUUCCCACUCAAUUCUGAAAAUAAGAACCUGUUAAUAGGUUGGAAAGCUGUGUACUCUAUUCAUAUAUUGUUCUUUCAUGCUAGUGGAGAGUGGUGUCAUUAGCAUCUUAAUUUUAGAGUUGUGAAAUGAUUUUACCAAUUAGGAAUUGAAUGUGUAUUUUUUUUCUGUUUAAUAAGAAGAGCAAAUUUGAAUAAAUAAGCUGGUGUAGAUAAACUUAAUAAUCAUGCUUUUUCUUGUUUGGAGAUAGGUGAUGUGUUGUCAUAUCCUGUGAUACAGGUCACUCAUCUGGCCUUCUGUUUCUGAAGUUUAAGUCUGGUUUGAAUAUGUAAUAAUACUACUCAGCAUUUCUUGUUGCCUAAGUGAGACGAAACUUAAAUGUUAUGAUAUUUACUUCAUGUAUUCUUGUACUGUUCAUUUCAAUUAAUUGGUAUUGUAUAUCUAAUAUGUGAUAUUUGAACUGAAUAAAACUUACAGUGUUGUAAA
rnacentral:lncRNA from 1 species